rnacentral:lncRNA from 1 species
GUACAAAACCUGUGGGAAGAAGGGCCUUCAGUCACAGGGAGAAAACCCCCUGUGGAGGGGGCUAGAAUAAAGAGGCCAGGGGAAACCGGAGUGGACCAGUCCUCAGAGAGCACGGGUGUCCAACGGAGAAGAGAAGAGCAUCAUGGCCUCCAGUGUUGCUCUCAGAGGCCCUUCUUCUGAGGUCUCUUUUUUGUCCAGAACUGGCUUCAGCAAGGGCCUGGUCUGGGCAGUACAAUGGGACUUUCUUCUGGAGCCACUAGUGAAUGGAGCUGGUGAAGAAUCUGCUAUGCCUGGUCCUGGAGCAGGGAUAACUCUUGGGAUGCUUGCUUUAUUUAACCCCAGCUGAUGCAGCUGGAAUGUCCGCCCGGGUUUCCCUCUGCCCCUUCCUGAGGUCCUGGAUCUCCUACCUUCUUCUCAGCAGGCCUUUCUCUGGAAUAGCCAGUGGCUUCCCAGGCUCCUGAAUCACUGUGACCUGAGAACUGUUGCUCCCUAGGGCCCCCCAGCACUCACCGUGGUAUCCUCCCUGGCCCCCUAGCUCCUCGCUACCCUCUGCCAGUCCUGGGGUUGGACCCCUUGUUCCGUCUUGGCUAAGACUUUAUUUAUUCUCUAUGCUCCCCUGGCUCUGGUGGUGUUGCCUGCUGCUGUCCUCUCCACUCCCCGAGGGGCAGCUCUUCUAUCACCGUUGCUUUGUCCCAUCCCACCUGCUGCACAGUGUCCCUCCCCUGACUUUCCAGUAUGCCACAGGUGCAUUACUUAUGCUGGAAAGAGACCAAGAGAACUGGUUUCUAAUCCUGGUUUUACCAUUUACCAAGUGGCCUUAGGCAAGUCCCUUAACUACUCUGUGCCUCAGUUUCCUCAUCUAUAAAACAGGGGUAAUAAUGCUUUGCACACCCACCUCAUAGUGUUGUUGAGGGAUUCUUUGAGAUAAUACACAUGAACACAAUUUGCACAACAUAAAUCUCUUUGCAAGUGUAUAGGAAAUCAAGUAAAGAACCAACUGCAUGCGGAUUAAGGAUCAAAAACCCCCUGAAGCAACUGUAAUCUUUCUUAAGACAGACUGGGAAGCAGAGCACUGAGUUGCACCAGGAGAAGCAUAUUUUUCAGAAGUUUCCCUUAAAAGGUUCC